AUCCGCGGUGGUGUGGGUACUGUAUAUUGCUAUUACGGGAUGCAAUAGAAAUAGAAAUGUGGAUUUGAGUCGCGAAUACGCUGCCGAUCUGAAUCAGCCGUGUUAAACUAUUAAACUAUUCAAGUAAUAAAGGACUUUAGACCAUCUACCAAAGCUGCACCCUCUCCAUCCCAUGUAUUUACAAAGAUUUUCAUUAAAUGGCUGAUUACCUUUAAUUGUGUGCACUGACACAAUUAAACUCAAUUAAGGAACUGGACAUUUGUUUUCCCCAUUUGGCUUGCUUUUCGUUAGUUUUCAGUGUUACUUAUUUUUUAGUUAUUUUUCAGUUACUUUUCUAUUUGUUUCUCACCAACGGCGCAUGCGCCUGUUAUGGACGCGCUGCUUCGACGCGAGUCACUCUCAGCGAGAGGCUAACGAACGACGGUCUCAGCCCACCCGCCACGCUGCUUCACCUCGCCGCGCGGUGAUGGGGACAGGUCGCCGUGGUGACGGUGAGUGACAGGCCCCCAGAUGUAGGCGCUGUGUGUUUUCUGUUCUUCUCUCCCCCCUGGGAUUCAUUCUAAUGAAGGAACCAGGAGGGGUCAAAAUGACGAUGACGGAGAAAGAGCGGCGCCUUCUGUCAAAGCGCGGGUCCAAUGGCACGGGCGCCCACACGCUGACCCGCCAGGAGGGCGCCCACACGCUGACCCGCCAGGAGGUCGCCCACACGCUGACCCGCCAGGAGGGCGCCCUCACGCUGACCCGCCAGGAGGGCGCCCACACGCUGACCCGCCAGGAGGGCGCCCACACGCUGACCCGCCAGGAGGGCGCUCUCACGCUGACCCGCCAGGAGGGCGCCCACUAGCUGACCCGCCAGGAGGGCGCCCAUACGCUGACCCGCCAGGAGGGCGCUCUCACGCUGACCCGCCAGGAGGGUGCUCUCACGCUGUCAUACCUAUGUCUUAUUAACAUUGAAAAUACAUAUCAACCCAGCCAUUCAUCAAGUCACUUUCUUAUUCAAGGUCGCGGGGGGCUUAGGGUUGGCGUUAGUUUACAGUGGAUAAAUGUCUGCUGGAUAAAGAUCUCCAAAGAUGCUUAUUUCACAAGCGUGGAGAAAACACAUCUUCUUAGAAACUACUUCACAAUAUAAACCUAAAACAAGGUAAUGAGAUGCCAUUGGUACCAGCAAUAGAAAUCUUUACACGGUUGUCAGUGAAGGGUUUAAUGUUUUACAUGGACUUAUGUGGAGUGUUGUCAGCGAGGCAAAUAUAUCAUUUUUGACAAGACACGAACUGAUCUCGCUUUAUAUUCACAAUUGGUGUUAAUUAGCUAGCAAUCUAGCUAUCAACGUAAAUACCAACAAAAUUAGCGAUAUAAAGUGAUCCAUAGAAAGUAGUACAAAUAUACUAGUUCAAUGGAUGACUUCAUGAAACAUCUUUUCAUUGGACAAUUUGAUGUCAAACGCUGUCGGAAGAUGGGAAAAUGGGUGUAUUCCAUCCAUAGUAAAAACCCACGAUCGUGAAAAA